GGAAUGUAGUAAUACAUUCAGUGGCGAACGGGUGAGUAACGCGUGGAUAAUCUACCUACGAGAUGGGGAUAACUAUUAGAAAUAGUAGCUAAUACCGAAUAAAGUCAAUUAAGAUGUUAGUUGAUGAAAGGAAGCCUUUAAAGCUUCGCUUGUAGAUGAGUCUGCGUCUUAUUAGCUAGUUGGUGGGAUAAGAGCCUACCAAGGCUAUGAUAAGUAACCGGCCUGAGAGGGUGAUCGGUCACACUGGAACUGAGAUACGGUCCAGACUCCUACGGGAGGCAGCAGCUAAGAAUCUUCCGCAAUGGGCGAAAGCCUGACGGAGCGACACUGCGUGAACGAAGAAGGUCGAAAGAUUGUAAAGUUCUUUUAUAAGUGAGGAAUAAGCUUUGUAGGAAAUGACAAAGCGAUGACGUUAAUUUAUGAAUAAGCCCCGGCUAAUUACGUGCCAGCAGCCGCGGUAAUACGUAAGGGGCGAGCGUUGUUCGGGAUCAUUGGGCGUAAAGGGUGAGUAGGCGGAUAUGCAAGUCUAUGUGUAAAAUACCACAGCUCAACUGUGGAACUAUGCUGGAAACUGCAUGACUAGAGUCUGAUAGGGGAAGUUAGAAUUCCUGGUGUAAGGGUGGAAUCUGUUGAUAUCAGGAAGAAUACCAGAGGCGAAGGCGAACUUCUAGGUCAAGACUGACGCUGAGUCACGAAAGCGUAGGGAGCAAACAGGAUUAGAUACCCUGGUAGUCUACGCUGUAAACGAUGCACACUUGGUGUUAAUCGAAAGGUUAGUACCGAAGCUAACGUGUUAAGUGUGCCGCCUGGGGAGUAUGUUCGCAAGAAUGAAACUCAAAGGAAUUGACGGGGGCCCGCACAAGCGGUGGAGCAUGUGGUUUAAUUCGAUGAUACGCGAGGAACCUUACCAGGGCUUGACAUAUACAGGAUAUAGUUAGAGAUAACUAUUCCCCGUUUGGGGUCUGUAUACAGGUGCUGCAUGGUUGUCGUCAGCUCGUGCCGUGAGGUGUUGGGUUAAGUCCCGCAACGAGCGCAACCCUUGUUGUCUGUUACCAGCAUGUAAAGAUGGGGACUCAGACGAGACUGCCGGUGAUAAGCCGGAGGAAGGUGAGGAUGACGUCAAAUCAUCAUGGCCCUUAUGUCCUGGGCUACACACGUGCUACAAUGGCCUGUACAAAGCGAUGCGAAACAGUGAUGUGAAGCAAAACGCAGAAAGCAGGUCUCAGUCCAGAUUGAAGUCUGAAACUCGGCUUCAUGAAGUUGGAAUCGCUAGUAAUCGUAUAUCAGAAUGAUAC
rnacentral:rRNA from 1 species